rnacentral:sRNA from 1 species
UCAUGAUUGCCUGCACUUUUUCUGGU